CAGGUCUCCCACUAUUUCAAAGAUUCAACUUAUGAAGGCCAUUGAUUGUAUAGUGCCAUCAUUACUUCAUUUCCUCUUUUUUUUUAAUUAUGGGAUUGCCAAAGGAAAUCAUCACAGUAUAUAGUGGUUGUCAGGUAAGUAAAAUAAUUUCCCUUUUUUAAGCUUUCAGAGGCAUAACUACUUGAAGAAGACAGUGUCUCCAUCUUCUAAUUUUGG
rnacentral:lncRNA from 1 species